CCUACGGGAGGCUGCAGUGGGGAAUAUUCGGCAAUGGGCGCAAGCCUGACCCAGCAACGCCGCGUGAAGGAAGAAGGCUUUCGGGUUGUAAACUUCUUUUCUCAGGGACGAAGAAAGUGACGGUACCUGAGGAAUAAGCCACGGCUAACUACGUGCCAGCCGCCGCGGUACUACGUAGGUGGCAAGCGUUAUCCGGAUUUACUGGGUGUAAAGGGCGUGGAGGCGGGAAAGAAAGUCAGAUGUGAAAACCAUGGGCUCAACCUGUGGCCUGCAUUUGAAACUGUUUUUCUUGAGUACUGGAGAGGCAGACGGAAUUCCUAGUGUAGCGGUGAAAUGCGUAGAUAUUAGGAGGAACACCAGUGGCGAAGGCGGUCUGCUGGACAGCAACUGACGCUGAGGCGCGAAAGCGUGGGGAGCAAACAGGAUUAGAUACCCCAGUAGUC
rnacentral:rRNA from 1 species